AGCAGAGGGCUGGGAAGUAGAAGUUGGGGACGGUCCGGCUCAGCACAUGUGUGUGCACAUACAUGGUCCUCCACACACAGAAGCUCUAAAAGUGCACACGGCCAUGUAACCACCACCAGGACACGGGCCGUUCCUGUCACCGACUUCCUCACUGUGUAUGGUACUGGGGUCGAAAGUCGUAGGACGGGAAUCUCACGCUGUAAAUGGCCUGGCCUUUCUCCCGCGUGUCAUCAGCCCGAUUCACCUACUUGGGCCUUCGUUCUUUCUCAUGGUUACAGACUCACAGGCAUUCUCAGAGAGCACACGGCCUGGACAGAGCAAAACGGUGGAACCUGACCACGCUCUGAUCUGCAUUCCCCACUGGUGACAGGCUCACG